rfam:Nematostella vectensis strain CH2 x CH6 NEMVEscaffold_452_Cont27651, whole genome shotgun sequence.
GUUGAGGUGGCCGAGUGGUUAAGGCGAUGGACUUGAAAUACAAUGGGAUCUUCCCGCGCAGGCCCUAAUCCUGCCCGCAACG